AAACUUCCAAGUUUCAAGGGAAUUUGCUUGGGGAAGGAGGCUUUCACAUUGCCAAAGUUGGAAACUUUACAAAUAAAAGAAUGCCGAGCAAUUACAGUUUUCACCAAGGGACACGUGUCUACCCCUGAGCUCAAAGUAAUAGAUACAAGUUUUGGGUUUUGUUAUGUAAAGACAGAUAUCAACUCCCUUUUAAAGACCAAACAAGAGGAGGGGUGGGAAUUCUAGAACAUGAAGAUCAUAUGUUUUAUCUGCAAGGUUUUAUAAAGUUGGAAUCUGUUGAAAAGUAUAAAGAUAUGGAACUGUUGCACUUUGACUUUUGACGGUCAAACAAGGUAAUUUUCAAGCAAAAAAUCAUCCCAUUUUUUUAAAACCUUUAGGACCAACAACUUACUGAGUCAUAUCUAUCUUAUGAGUUAUGACUAUCUGGAUCAGCCUCAGAUUUGCAAUAUCCAUAAUGAUGACCAAUGAACAUGAGGAUUACAAAUGCAGUAGCACACAUGUUUGACUAAAAAAGUAAAAGGGUCCCAAGGUGCAGUUCAAGAUACACUUAUGAAGGUUCACCAACAUCAAGCCCUGAAGUCAAGCAUUUAGAUGUAUUUAUGACAAAUCAAGAAAUAUUACCGAGUGUUGCUGCUUCUAGGUUUUCACGCACAUUGACACUCCUUGCAGAUACAAAUUGACCCAUUUAUGAAUAAUUUCAAAGAUAAUGUUUGAUCUAGGAAAGAAAAUGGUAAAUGAACUGAUAAGUGUAGUCAUAUAUAACAUACCAUUUCGUUUGGUCAUGACAUACAAUGAUGAUGUUUCUACGGAAACAUGGAAGGCUUUCAAAUCAAUUAGUGAAAUUUUAUGGGUUCCCCUUU